AUCUACUUUCAUUUCAUCAUUUCAUUUAUUUCAUCAUUUCAUCAUUUGACUUCAUGUCAUCAUUUCACAUCAUUUCAUCAUUUCAUCUUUUCAUUCCAUCAUUUCAUCAUUUCAUUUCCUCAUUUCAUCCUUUCAUUUCAUCUCAUCAUUUCAUCCUUUCAUUAUUUCAUUUAAUCAUUUCUUCUCACUGUUGCAUUUCGUCAUCUCAUCACUUCAUCAUUUCACUUCAUCUCAUCAUUUCAUCAUCUCAUGAUUUCAUUUCAUCUCAUCAUUUCAUCUCAUUUCAUCUUUUCAUCUCGUCAUUUCAUUUCAUCUUUUCAUUUCAUCUUUUCAUCUCAUCAUUUCAUUUAUUUCGUUUCAUUUCACCUUUUCAUCUCAUCAUUUCAUUUCAUCAAUUCAUCAUUUAAUUUCAUUUUUUCAUCAUUUCAUCAUUCACUUCAUCAUUUCAUUUCAUCAUUUCAUAUCAUUUCCUCAAUUCAUCAUUUCAUCUUUUCAUUUCAUUUCAUCAUUUCAUCAUUUCAUUUCACUUCACUAUUUCAUUUCACUUCACUAUUUCAUUUCAUUAUUUCAUUUCACCAUUUCAUGUCAUCAUUUCAUUUCAUCAUUCCAUUUCAUCAUUUCAUUUCAUUUCAUCAUCAUUUCAUCUCAUUAUUUCAUUUCUUCGUUUCAUCAUUUCGUUUCAUUUCAUCAUUUCAUUUCAUCAUUUCAUCAUUUCUUUUCAUUUCAGUGAUACAUGUAUUUAAUUGCUAAUGCGAUGCUCAGGAGACACCCUAUUUCCCUUUGUAAAACACCUCCUUCAACAAAAGGCAACUUCUCAUGGCUGGCUAAGUCUACAGGGAUACCAGCCUCUCUUCAACCACCCAAUUUCAUUUAGAACCUCAAACAGCGCCUCAGUUUCAUAAAAACCUAAAACAUAAACACAACACUUGGUUGUAAGUGAGCCAACAGUUUCUUGUCUCUUUCUCUGCUCAAGGCUUAAGGCCGUGUCUCCCCAACUACAUUCAGUGGAAGAAAAGAUCCCAUGGACAAAUAAGUUUGAGAAUUGUUGUUGCAGGAAUUCUCAGAACUUUCAAAACACAAAUCCUCAUCCGCAGGGAUCUUCAGGAGGGAGAUGGCUGAUGCAGCACAACUUCUUUCUACAGGAGUAUCUUGCAGAAUACAGUAUGAGAUACAGAAAAGGCUGCAUUGAGUCUUUUUAAUGGCCCAGGCCUUGGUGGGGGUGGGAUAGGAGCUCUCCAGAUAGCAUCUAAUGAGUAGGAACAUUCAGGUGGCUUUUUGUUUCCUUAUUGGCAAAACUGUGUGUACACCAUGAAUGAAGCUGGUCUCCCUUAUCCACGUCAAAACUAAACUCAAAUUAAUUGGCUAAAUUGGGACUCAACACCUCCAGGAGCCACGCGGCAGAAAGCCCCAACACACUUUAA
ensembl:lincRNA